rfam:Fictibacillus arsenicus strain G25-54, complete genome.
AACUUAUCCAGAGAGACUGAGGGACAGGCCCUAUGACGUCCAGCAACCAUCAUUUUUAUGAAAGGUGCUAAUUCCUGCAGAAUGAUAUCAUUCUGAAAGAUAAGGU